rnacentral:sRNA from 1 species
AAAUAAACAAGGAGGGACAAAAACAAGCUGUGUGUUGAAACCUUAAAGGGUUCAAGCUGGCCACACCUUCUAAGUCAGAUGGACUCCCAGUACCUGGUGAGGGAUCAAACUGAUCCAAGUUUGGGGUUUUUGGAGCAAAGCUCAAGAACAAGGUACAGCUUAGACACCUGAAACGACCCAUCCAACCCUCAUUACUCUCAAUAAGGAAAAAGUAAAGAAAGGUACCAUGGUAAGCCCAACACUGCUAUUCUCCUCUGGGAUCCCUAAACAUCUGCAAUACCCAAGACUCACUUUCCUUUUCUAGAAAACAAGAAGAAAUGUUGAGUGUGGCUGCAUGUGGAAGGUUAUCGUGAAGCAUACAUGCAAUCAUGUUAUGACAGAUUGCAAAAUUCUAAAGAACUACAUACAGGUGUCUGUGGCUCACCUAAAGCAUCCCCACAUGGAGCCAGUCCUCAUAGAUAGACUCCUGCCUCUCACUGACAUAGUCCUCCUACUGCUCUGAGGUGCUGGAGACCCUUCCUCUACUGCAGGAAGCUGUGGCCACUUCACUGCCACACAGAAGUCACAGUGGUCCACAAAGGAGUGGGUGAGCACACAUUUAUAACCAGGGAAGAUGAGCAGGCAGUCUUUCAUCAUUGCGAGAUACGCUCUGGAGGCAGAGCUAAGGAUAGGGAGAUGAGGCCUGCACAGAAAAGAACAAUGUCAAGGUCCCCACGGGAGCAAGCCCAGGCAAAGGGAAUUUCCCAAAGGAAGUGAAUCACACAGGGAGGGUCUCUUUGAUAUGCCACAAGGCAGUGCCACAUGAGUUUUGAUUACAGCAAUACCAAGCUUAUAAAGAAAUGGACUAUCUAGUAUUCUCCAUCAAUCCCCUCUCCUCACCUUUCCUCCCUGACUCAGCACUGUGGACAUGUGGGUGGAAUUUUCAAGGCCGUGCCAAAUGCUGUGAUGCUUCCUGAUUCUUUGAGGUUCCAUCCACGUUUGCCCUGUUGUGUCAUCAGAGAGAUUGCAAUCUUGAAGAGACCAUUGUGAUCCAGUGUUUCUUGUCACCCAACAUUCAGAAAACACUCUAAUGGAGGAAUCCCACCUUGCUUGCCUCCUUAUACUUAAGACCUAUGUCCUUUCAACUCAUUGUGCUGGAGGUUCAUUGAGAGGAGAGACCUGGUUUCCAUAGGUUGUCAUAGCAACUGACAUACCUCAACAUCUGAAUCGGCUCACAAAAGGCACUCUGCAGAGGGUUUGUCAGUAUCUGGGAUACCAGGUCACAUCUGCAUUUCCUAUUUUUCAUUUGUAGAAUUCAGUGGUUAAAUGAGAUGAUCUCUGAAUCGCUUUCCAUCUCUAACUGGAAGCCUUAGACAAACUCAAUGAAUACCUUAACUUUGCAAACAGAAAUAGUGGGAUCCCUUUAAGAAAGUGAAUGGGACCAACGGAGGUGUGGGGCUUAAAAAUGGGUGAGUGUGAGAGAUGAAUUCAGUCAUCCCUCAUGGAGUGACAGUACUGGGCAAAAUAGAGUCCUCACCAGCAUGGUAAGGAGCAGGCCGUGAAGUUCAGUGGGAAGAGCUUCAACAAGCCUGGGAGCCCAGACAUAUGCUUCUGUACCAAGCUUGCCUUUGUGUGCCCAGCUUCACCGAGCCUCCUGUUACUGUGAUUUGAAAUCAAAGCACCAAGGUCAUGAGCAAUCAAGAGUCUUACUGCCUCCCUCUGCAGGCAGCCAUUUCUGUCUGGGUGAGUUCUAUUUACCAGAAAUGUUUCAAAAGCAUGCUAAUAGCAUCCUUAAUUACACAGGCCUCAGUGCUCUUGCUGGAUAGCUGAUCAGCUAUUUGGGACCUGGUUACUGUACAGUAGGUAAUUCCCUGGAGAAUUACUGUCCCCACAAGUCUCUGGUGUACUGCAGAGAAAGCUGUCUCUACAUCCAGCCCUCAGCCUCUAGGUUCACACACCGAGCUCACAUGAAUCACUCAGAAAGCACAUAGUAACUUACUGCUUAAAAAUAAUGUCGAUUUUUGGGGAUUUUUCCCUAUUCUUUAAUCAAGGGAGUGUUACUCACUAUUUAAUUUAUGAGGCAGUUCCAUACAAAUGAUUGGGAUUAAGUACUGGCUUGAUUGAAGUCUUGGUUUUGGCUCCCUCAGAGGUGAUGCAACCCAAAUCCAGUUAUUUUCCCUUUCCAAGUUUGUCCUGGUACAAAAAAAUUAAUAAUAUUUACUUUAUGAACUAUUGAGAGAAUUAAGCUGAGAAUUCAAAUUAGGUGGCUUGUCCCAUGAGAAAUACCAUUAAGUCAUUAAGAAGACAUAUUUUCUCCACAGUUCAGCCUUAUCCACAGUAAGUCCUUUCUGGUACCAUUGACCAUCUCAUUGGUCUCAGUUCUGUCUUCAGAGACCAUGCAAAGUAGGCCAAAAUCCUCUUUCCACUUGGCCGUCUUUCAAGUAUUUCCAUUUGACCACAAGCUCCAUACAUGGCAAAGAACCUUACCAGAGAAAUUGAGGUGGGAAAAAAAAGUGUAUUCAGGGUUUCACCACAAUCUGGAGGGAGAACCAAGGAAUUCUGACUUCUGCCCUGGAGUGACUGACCACUUCACAACCUGACCUCCAAGAACAGAGGGGCCAGCCAGAGCUCUUGGAAGAUGGCAUUGUGGUAGCGCAUGGCACUGGAGUGCUGACACAUAGCUCUUUGAUGUGGCUUAGCUCAUGAUGUUGCUGUAUUUCCCUAAGUUAGGAGAUAAGCAUGCCACUAGAACCACUUCAGUGAGGAGUAUAGCGCACUGCCCCAAAGGCUUUUAGGAAUUUUCCCACAGAAGUAUUGCAGCCAAUUGUGCAAACUUGAAGAUGUUUUCAUGCAAAUCUAUUUUGCAAAUACACACAGUCUUUUUUCCUGAAUUGUUUUUAUGACCCCACAUCACUAUACUAUUGAAAUUCUUAAAUAACCGGUUCAUUCUUUCAGGUAGAAGCAAUUUCAGAAGCAAGAAAGGAUUUGACUCAAUAAGCAGAGACUUGGACAAACUGUUUGAUGUGUUAAAUAGGCACUGUAAGAAACUAUUUGCUACCUUUCUGCCUGCUUGGGAUUCGAGCACUCUGUGAUCCCUUGUUUAGAAGUGCAACUGGCAGACAAUUGGAAAAUCCCUUUCUCUUUAUGUGGUCCUGUAACUUGUUCCUCGGGGAACCUUCUUAGCUCUAGAUGGUGUUGAAGCUUGAGCUCCUAUCAGGAGUCAAUAGCUUAUUGGGGGCAUCAUGACAAGAUUCUAUCACUAGGAUACUGAGUAGGCUCCAAAUUUUUCAAGGUUACUUUGAAACCAAGACGUACUUUCUGCUUCUGGUGAGGAUUUCAUUAAACGGUGCACUGGAGGCUGCUGUUCACUGUUGUGUCUUGGUCACAAUUUCAGGGAUUUAUUAUGGUAUUUCCUGCGUGAGACUGGAAAAACCUCCCCUCCAUGACUAACAGCCUGUUGAAGGUAGGACCAGCCAAGGAUUUCAUUUUGACCUCCUGUCAGUCUCAGGGCAGGGCCCAGUCCAUUACUAUAAUGACUAGAUCAGAAAGUUGACCUUAUUAGUCAUCGUUCUCUGUCUAUAGACCAUCCCAGGCAAUGUUUACUAUGUAACUUCUAAGAGUCCCAGAGUCCAUCCUUUCCAUUUUCUGUACCUGGAGCAGCUAGGGCUCAGAGCCCUUUGUCUCCAGUGACAAGGAUCUUCUCGGCCUGCCCCAAGAAAAUAAUGCUGUGGAUUGUUCUGUGCACUGGAAAGCACCGAGCUUCAUGGCAACAUGGAAAUGUAAUUGCUCCGUUCUCCAAAUUGCCUUUUCUUACAACAAAGAGCAGUUUUUGAAUCCUGUCCUUAACUAGAUGAGGAGAAGAAAUAGACCCUCAUCAAACAAGGAAGCCAAAGAUAUGAAGACAGGGUGAUGCUGAGGCCCAGGACCUGUCACAGAUUUGUUCUGCUCUGAACCUUGGUCACAGGAGCUUCUAAUUGCAGCAUCAGUACAGAGACUCAUCACCGUGCAGAAGAAGCGCAAAGGAUGUCAGAGAGAGAGGGUAGAGAGGAGUGCUGUGAAAUGUAUAUGGCCGCGGCACAUGUGAACUCCGAGCAGCUGUGCUCACCUGUUAAGACCAGCAUAAGAGUAAUCCAGUUGAGAAAUUCCAGCAUAAAGGGCAGAUUUACUCUGGAGACUCCGGGAGUAACUGGCAGCUAUUGGGAGUGAGAGUCACUUUUUUCUGUGUUGUAUUCAUUGGUUGGUUCCCAGAGCCCAAGUAAAUGGCCCUACACCUAUAUGGGUAGCAUUAUUUGACUCUGUGUAAAAGAAAUGUCCUUGGUUUUUAACAGAGAGUAUAAAGUUGGGAGGGGGAUCUGAUGGUGAGAUUCUGAAGGGACUUGAAAGGGGAGUGAAGGGUGGCUAUGAUCAAGGCACAUUGUAUGUAUACAUGUGUAAAUGUUAAUAAACCCAAGGGGGAUAACAAUGAUAUUCAAGUUCUCAGCAACAAGUGAGGAUAUAAGAAGACCAUGCAGAUAUGUUUUCACAUUUGUGAAGACACAGAAUUUGGUAUCCAGUCAAACAUUUGUUCAGAUGGAAAGGCGUGUUAAAAUACUCCAAAGCAUGCAAUCUCGAAAGCUGGACACACAACUAUCUGCAGGGCAUUUUCCAUAAAAUAAAUGAGAGGAUGUCACAUAAAGUGACCAAAUA